rnacentral:rRNA from 1 species
ACUCCUGCGGGAGGCAGCAGUGGGGAAUUUUGGACAAUGGGCGAAAGCCUGAUCCAGCCAUGCCGCGUGCAGGAUGAAGGCCUUCGGGUUGUAAACUGCUUUUGUACGGAACGAAACGGCCUUUUCUAAUAAAGAGGGCUAAUGACGGUACCGUAAGAAUAAGCACCGGCUAACUACGUGCCAGCAGCCGCGGUAAUACGUAGGGUGCAAGCGUUAAUCGGAAUUACUGGGCGUAAAGCGUGCGCAGGCGGUUAUGUAAGACAGUUGUGAAAUCCCCGGGCUCAACCUGGGAACUGCAUCUAUGACUGCAUAGCUAGAGUACGGUAGAGGGGGAUGGAAUUCCGCGUGUAGCAGUGAAAUGCGUAGAUAUGCGGAGGAACACCGAUGGCGAAGGCAAUCCCCUGGACCUGUACUGACGCUCAUGCACGAAAGCGUGGGGAGCAAACAGGAUUAGAAACCCCUGUAGUCCCAU